UCUGGAUAAGGCAGGACUGCGGGUGUUUCUGACCCAGAACACACUUAUGUCAAAUAUAUGUCCCAGUUUCUCAUCUAUGAGCCUCUGGUUCUACCUCCAAACAUCCCUCAGACUGAGUGAAAAAUUUAGACUGUAACUGUGUGUAUACUUUAUUACAGAAUUAAACAGCUCUUAACAAGCAUGUAAUAAAAUGCCUUAUUUCACCCCUUGGAUAUCCUAGAUCCUGUGCUGUUUUGGUUUGAUUUGCUUUAGCUUCCCAUAACAUGUGGAAGUUCUCAAGCCAGGGAUCAAACUGCACCACAGCAGUAACCAGAGCCACAGCAGUGACAAUGCUGGAUUCUUAACCCACUAAACUGCCAGGGAACUCCCCUAUAUCCUGACUUAUAAUAGAAAGCACAUACUCUACUUUGUGAUGCUUGAAACUCUGAGCCAGACAGUAAUAUACAGCUAAUACGCUGAUAUGGCAUAUGUGUUAAAUAAUUCAAAUUCAAGAAAAAUUAAAGAAAAUUAUUGAAAAUAAGUAUGUGCAGCUUGUUUACCCUCUUGUAUACAUGCAGCAAACAAGAGAAAUAGUUGCCUUCAGCUGAACCGUGAAUUUAUCACUUCUGUCACUUGCCAAAGAAGACUAUUUACUAAAAUAAAUACAGGAGUGAUGUCAGUGGUAACAGAAAUUAAAAUUUUAUGUUCCUACUUUUCAUAGCAACCUUAAAUCCCUUUAAGGAUAAAUAAGGAGCACGUUGUACUUGAACAACUAGGUGGCACUGGUGCGUUAUGCUUUCAGUCCUGGAGAAGUAAAUUCAGAAAGCAUACUCUAUUCCAGUUCAGUGGUCUAACAUCCGCAUGAACGUCAGCUGCACAUUUGGGCAGUAAUUUCGCAGCGACUCAUGAAUGAAUGUCAGAAGCACUGUCGGUCUUUACAGAACAUUUGCUGCUCCCCAGCCUCCCCUUGGCAAUAACUUCAAGCGUUUUUGGUGGAUAUAGAUUUUUGCUGCAAGGAAAUAACAGUAAGUGCUUAUGUAUAUGCAAUGACUUUUUAAAAACUACAACAUCUUAAUGUUUGGAACUCCAUUAUGCUUAAAUGCAUGAGAAAAGUUAAUACGAUUAUUUAAAUUUACCCUAUCAUUUUGCAAUUGUGAUAACCUGUAUUCACUCUAAUGAUAUUUUCCAUAGAGUUUUAAUAGAUUAAUGCUAAGUCAUUUUAAUAAUGAAGAAAUCUAGACCCAUAGCCAAGUCUUUAUUUUGUCCAGUGUGUUUAUGUCAGUCUUGCUAUGGAAAUUUCCCUUAUGCAUUUAUGACAUUGAUUAUCACUGAUGAGCUGAUUUGCAGAGUCUGUUUUAUUUGACAAUUGAUUCUUAAUUUUUGGAUUGUGGGACAUUUAUUUUGCAUUAAUAACUUCUUUUGGAGCAAAUCACAUUCAUCUCUUGUAAUGAUGCAUUUUAAAUUGCUUUCAUACAUAUGUGGGUCAUUAACUCUUAUAUUCAUCUCACGAAAGGUAAGAGAGGGACCUAUUUCUUCUGGUUAGAGUAAAUAGUAAAUGCAAAAUGGAGCAACUUCUCAGUUCUUCUGCAUAAUGUUUUUCAUAAUGGUUUAAAUAUAUGCGUUUAUUUCAAAUGCAAGCAUAAGUAACUUUUGUUUUACCUGCCAGCCUCGGUUAUCUUGUGCCUUCCUUUACAUUAAUGUAAUUACUUGGGAAUUAUCUCUAUUCCAAAUUGAAUAGGGAAAUAUCAGCUUGCUGCAGGCUCUGUGCUCAUCCAGGAAUUAAAGUAAUUUAAGAUACGAGGUUUUAAAUGGAAACUUUAUUUGUAAGGAGAAGACGUCAUUCACUGCCAGAGGUAUCCAUCUCACUGAAACUUCCAGAGAAAAAAAUGCACUCCAGAUUUUGAAUUUUUGAUUUUCUAAAUAGUUCAAGUCCUGGUAUCUUUCUGCUUAGAUGAAUCUCUAGUGUGUUUUGUGACCUGCACCAUUUCUUGGCUUCUCUUCCUCACUGAUCCCAUUUCCACGGCAUCUUCCUCACUUACCAUUGAGCUGUUUGGCAACACCUCUGUUGAUGUAUGCUCCUUGGGCAAUUACGGGUCUUCCUUGAGUACAAGACAUGAAAUGUUAUUUUAUAGAGUAGAUAAUGAUUAUACUUAUAAAAUUCCUGCAAGGCUGAUUCAGAGAUAUGCUGCACUGUAAAAUAAAUUAUUUUCUAUUUUGGAGAUUCCA
rnacentral:lncRNA from 1 species